rnacentral:tRNA from 1 species
AUUUGAGUAGUUUAUUUAAAAUUUCAGUUUGUGGGACUGAGGAUAUGAUUACAAUUAUCUUAGAUA